UCAAACUUGGUCAUUUAGAGGAAGUAAAAGUCGUAACAAGGUUUCCGUAGGUGAACCUGCGGAAGGAUCAUUACCGAGUUAGGGUCCUCUGGGCCCGAUCUCCCAACCCAUUGUUUACUUGACCUAUGUUGCUUCGGCGAGCCCGCCUCUGAUUGGCCGCCGGAGGACCGUAACACGUCCUCUGGCCCGUGCUCGUCGAUGGCCCACUCUUAUAAAUUCUUAACUAAACGUGUCUUUAUCUGAGUACCAUAUGUUAAUAAAAGCAAAACUUUCAACAACGGAUCUCUUGGUUCUGGCAUCGAUGAAGAACGCAGC
rnacentral:misc_RNA from 1 species